AGCUCUGAAGGCAUGUUCAGAAUAUCAGGAAAAUGCUUCUCCAGGAUCAUGAUCAGGUUUCCCAAAGGAUCCAAAAAACUGAGAGGGAAGAGAUUUGGGGAAGAUGUCACUUUUCCUCAUCUGACUUUGCCUUGGAGUCAGAUGGGAGAAUGACUCCUGGAGAACACUUAGCCUUUUCCAGCUUUCCCCAAGAAAGGCUGGCCCAGGGAGGCUUCUAUAAACCUUCUCCCUAACUCUUCCAGCCUGAUUUCUCCUUGACCCAAGAAUCGCAGCCUCCUGGGGGCUGUUGGGAAGGGGCGUGGCUGCCCGCUGGGUUCAGUUCCCCUUCCUUCCCACGAGGGUCCUCACCUGCUCCAGCAUGUCCUUAGCAAGGUCCUCCUGCUCAUCCAUCUUCAAGAUGGCCUGCCGGAUCUCCUCGUUAGAAAGCUUCAACCUAAGGCAAAACCCCACCUCAAUCCAGGACAGCCCUCAAACCUUCUUCUCCAAAAGGUACCACCUCCGCCUUCCCUCAUUCCCUAACAGGACUUGGGAAUAUAUUUAAU
rnacentral:antisense_RNA from 1 species